ACAGACCGUACAUACGAGGACACGAGGGCCUUAAUCCCGUGGCGGUGUAGUAAUAAAUCCCUCUUCACGGGGAAGAGGAACGCCUCCGUGACUGGAUUUGAGGUCUUCAUAAAGGAGAGAGGGCUUGGGAGCUUGGAUCCCAAGCUUGUGAAAAAGAGGUGGGAGAACCUGGUUCACAAAUAUAAGGUCAG